ACAUCAUCCCAAUGACAUCAUCACCCUCAGGCAGUCUUGUCGCAUCAUCGAAGCUUCGAGAACAAGAGAAAGGCAGGACAAUAACUUUUUUCUUCGUUUAAGUUGGAAACUUUUAAAUGUACUUUUUGUUGCUGCAGGACUCUCGGCGGGGCCAACUUAACUCGUCAAGAUAAGUGAGUUCUUUUUUUUUUUUUAGUUAAUUACUCUAAUUAGGACAAUUAAAAGAUUGCCUCUUUGCAUUAUGAAAGCAGAGUGGAAUUAGCAGAUGCUUUAAUUGUGAGAUUAAUUCAUUUCCUGGUUGAUUGGAGAGGCAGCGAAUGGGAACUCCUCAUUACUCUGUGUGUGACUGUGUGUGUGCGUGUGUGUGUGUCCGUGGGCAGUCUAAUCCUGAAUGAGGACUGAGACCCUUCAUCGUCCCUGGAGGACUGCAGACCUGAUAAACCACACCUGGGAUGAGCACCGGCACACUCACACACACAGAGCGUGGACUUCUAAAACUCUUCGGGGAGAGAUGGGUCUUGUGGUGAACUUUCUUCUGUUCUCAGGAUGGCGCAGUCCUGCCUCCAGUCCCAGUUGCUUCCAACAGUAGGGUACCCACGUGGGUCCUGAAGCAGCUGGCUGGCAAUGGAGACCCUCCUCCUCUCGCCCCCAGAGAUCCCCGGGAACACACGGCCUCCGAUAACACUGUGGGCCACGUGACUGAGACUCAGCUCGGCCAUCAC